rnacentral:lncRNA from 1 species
GUGGAGGCCCAUGACAGCGUGGCAGCUUUGUGGAAGGGAUGUCAGAUCGUUUUAUCGCAGGAAGCUAUCCAAGAGAGCAUCAGGUGCUGUUUCCUCCUGACAGAUGCAGCUGGCCCAGCUGUGACAGUGGGCAGGGCAUAGCCAUGAAGCCACUCUCCCUCCUGAAGCACAGACACUGCCUGUGGCGUUGGCUGGACACCUCCCCAUCCUCUGUGGGGAUUUCCUGGAAGAAGAAACAGAUUAUCUCGGAGUAGAAGAUUCUCCUCCUGGUGUUGCUGACUUGGUGGACAGAAUGAAAGGAAAGGAACAGCAGACUGAACAUCCAGUUCCUACUGGAGCACCGCGGUUUCCUGGCUCUGCUCCCGUCCUCUCCGCUGUCGCCUGCACCCUGACAGAGAAGC